GACGAACGCUGGCGGCGUGCCUAAUACAUGCAAGUAGAACGCUGAAGGAGGAGCUUGCUUCUCUGGAUGAGUUGCGAACGGGUGAGUAACGCGUAGGUAACCUGCCUGGUAGCGGGGGAUAACUCUUGGAAACGAUAGCUAAUACCGCAUAAUAGUAGAUGUUGCAUGACAUUUGCUUAAAAGGUGCAAUUGCAUCACUACCAGAUGGACCUGCGUUGUAUUAGCUAGUUGGUGGGGUAACGGCUCACCAAGGCGACGAUACAUAGCCGACCUGAGAGGGUGAUCGGCCACACUGGGACUGAGACACGGCCCAGACUCCUACGGGAGGCAGCAGUAGGGAAUCUUCGGCAAUGGACGGAAGUCUGACCGAGCAACGCCGCGUGAGUGAAGAAGGUUUUCGGAUCGUAAAGCUCUGUUGUAAGAGAAGAACGAGUGUGAGAGUGGAAAGUUCACACUGUGACGGUAGCUUACCAGAAAGGGACGGCUAACUACGUG
rnacentral:rRNA from 1 species